GUCUACAGCCAUUCCACCCUGAAUAAGCCUGAUAUCUGGUCUCGGAAGCUAAGCAGGGUCGGGCCUGGUUAGUACUUGGAUGGGAGACCACCUAGAAAGACCAGCUGCUGUAGGCA
rnacentral:rRNA from 1 species